UACAGAGGUGGCAAGCGUUGUUCGGAAUUACUGGGCGUAAAGGGCGCGUAGGUGGCCUUCUUAGUCAGACGUGAAAUCCCCGGGCUUAACUCGGGAACUGCGUCUGAUACUGGAAGGCUAGAGUUCGGGAGAGGAAUGUGGAAUUCCAGGUGUAGCGGUGAAAUGCGUAGAUAUCUGGAGGAAUACCGGUGGCGAAGGCGGCAUCCUGGACCGACAUUGACGCUGAGGAGCGAAAGCUAGGGGAGCAAACGGG
rnacentral:rRNA from 1 species